AAUGCCCACAAAAAUGCCAGUGGUAAAGCACACAGGAAGUAACUAGCUACAAAAGCCACUCACAAGAAUAUGUUGUGUACUAGAAAGGUUAAGAAACCACAUCAUUAUAAGCCUUGUACUGUGGCUCUCAGUGAAAAUCAGAUCAGAAGUUAUCAAAUGUAUGCUGAACUUCUCACUUGCAAAUUUCCCUUCCAGCAUCAGUUGUGAGAACUUCAAAACAGAUCUAUACUUCCAGAGUGCAGCCACUGACACUUUUCUAAAGGCAAGUGAGGCCUACCUGGUUAGCCUAUUUGAAGACACCCACCUUUGUUUUAUCCAUAUCAAAUAUGUAACAAUUAUGCCUAAGGAUAUCCCACCAAAAAGACUCAUA
rnacentral:lncRNA from 1 species